rnacentral:misc_RNA from 1 species
AAGUCGUAACAAGGUCUCCGUAGGUGAACCUGCGGAGGGAUCAUUACCAAAGAUGGCGGGGCCUCCGGGGCCCCGCCGUCCCCCAAACCCCUUUUGUUUGACCAAAACCUUUUUUGCCCUCGGGGGCAGAGCGUCCGCCGCCGCCCCGCGGACGCGCAACGACGUCUCUUUACGUCGGAGUAUUGAUUGAAUAAAUGAAAA